rnacentral:sRNA from 1 species
AGUUGGCAUCCGCGGCCCGGUCGCGGCUCCCAGCUGUUCCCCUCUGGAGGUUUUGAACCUUCACAUCUCAGGGCCAGGAGAAAUCCCGGCCCUAUUUU